rnacentral:lncRNA from 1 species
GUAAUAAUAAAGUUGUAGUUAUUUCUGUACCAUGUAUUUGGCGACUCAGAAUGGGUUGGAUGGAAUGGACCUAUUUUGGGGGCGUCACAGUUGGUAUCAGAGCUUAGGGAUAUGAUCUCUGGCGGAGAUCGGGGAAUAGAACGAGGAGGGGAGAGAUGAGUAAAUCCUUCGCUAGUGUGUCCUACCUAAGCUUAUUUGUUAGUUGGUUAGUAUAUAGGGAUAUUAUGUGAUAUAUUGAUUUCCUUAAUUAACCCUUGUUUUAUGACAGUAUUUGAGAAUGUCGACUGAGAAUAUUAACAGUGGA